UUUGAAAGUAUGUCUCAACACUGAAGCUUUGGAAUGAUAUCUGCUUGCGCUUGAAACCUAUUUGUGAAUGCAACCUGCGUAUGACACAGCAUAUCACUGCUGGUACAAAAGAAGUUGUUUUCCCCCGCACGCUUCACUUCAAGUGAGACUUAGCACGAGCUGUGGUAGCGAUAGAGUCUCCUCUUUGAACAAAGAAAAUAACAAGGAUAACAGAACCCAGCAUGUACACAUUCGAAAAACGCAUUUAUUGAAAUAGAAGUCCCUGAAAUAGUGAGCCUGGACCCAAUACGUAGUUUGUGACAUUUUCUGGCAAUAAAUGCUAAUUUUUCGUUUUUUUCCAGAAUCCUUAUAUAAUUUUUGUACAUCAAAUUACAGAAAAUUGGACCCAUUAUGUUUAAAGUCGCCAGCUUCAUUGCAGUCUUCCUAGUUUUGACUACAAACUGGCGCGCAGACGCGCAGCGUAAGUGCGACUGUCGGGUCGUGCGGUGCGCAGGAGUAGACGCGCGCACGUGCAAGUAUGGCGUCGGCCUCAACGCCUGCGGCUGCUGCCAAGUUUGUCUACUUGGACCUGGUGCUACUUGCGGAGGACCUGCUGACAUAGAAGGAAAAUAUGGCACAGGUCUGACUUGCGUUAAAAGAGACGUCACAAAAU
rnacentral:lncRNA from 1 species